CAAAGCCUUGGUCCUGGCCUUUAUAUUGAUUCUUAGUAAAUUUACACAUGCAAGCAUCCCCUCCCCAGUGAGAAUGCCCUCUAGUCCAAAUGCAGGUCAAAAGGAGCAGAUAUCAAGCACGCUACCAACAUGCAGCUCACAACAUCUUGCUAAACCACACCCCCACGGGAUACAGCAGUGAUAAAAAUUAAGCAAUAAACGAAAGUUUGACUUAGUUAUACUAAGUUAGGGUUGGUAAAUUUCGUGCCAGCCACCGCGGUCAUACGAUUAACCCAAAUCAAUAAUAUCCGGCGUAAAGCGUGUUUAGGUAUAAAACCAAAAUAAAGUUAAACCAAAGCUAAGCUGUAAAAAGCCCUAGCACAGGUAAAAGACGCAACGAAAGUGACUUUAAAAUAUCCGACUACACGAUAGCUAAGACCCAAACUGGGAUUAGAUACCCCACUAUGCUUAGCCAUAAACCAAAACAUUUAAUUAACAAAAAUGUUCGCCAGAGUACUACUAGCAACAGCCUGAAACUCAAAGGACUUGGCGGUGCUUCAUAUCCACCUAGAGGAGCCUGUUCUGUAAUCGAUAUACCCCGAUAAACCUCACCACCCCUUGCCAAUACAGCCUAUAUACCGCCAUCUCCAGCAAACCCUAAAAAGGUAAUAUAGUAAGCACAACUAUUAUCACAAAUACGUUAGGUCAAGGUGUAGCCUAUGGAGUGGGAAGAAAUGGGCUACAUUUUCUAACUUAAGAAUAUACUUAUACGAAAGGCUUUAUGAAAUUUAAAGCCAGAAGGAGGAUUUAGCAGUAAAUUUAAGAAUAGAGAGCUUAAUUGAACCCGGCCAUGAAACACGCACACACCGCCCGUCACCCUCCUCAACCAAUCAUACUCACCAACUACAUAAAGCCAUAAGAGUAUACUUUUUCUAGAGGAGAUAAGUCGUAACAAGGUAAGCAUACUGGAAAGUGUGCUUGGUAUAAU
rnacentral:ncRNA from 1 species